AGCCGGUGUGAAAAACUCCGGUGGUGUAAGAUGGACCCGCGUCUGAUUAGCUUGUUGGCGGGGUAACGGCUCACCAAGACAACGAUACAUAGGGGGACUGAGAGGUUAACCCCCCACAUUGGUACUGAGACACGGACCAAACUCCUACGGGAGGCAGCAG
rnacentral:rRNA from 1 species